rnacentral:rRNA from 1 species
UACGUAGGGGGCUAGCGUUGUCCGGAUUUAUUGGGCGUAAAGAGCGUGUAGGCGGCCAUGUAGGUCCGGUGUGAAAACUCGAGGCUUAACCUCGAGAUGUCAUCGGAAACCAUUUGGCUAGAGUCCGGAAGAGGAGAGUGGAAUUCCUGGUGUAGCGGUGAAAUGCGCAGAUAUCAGGAAGAACACCCGUGGCGAAGGCGGCUCUCUGGUACGUGACUGACGCUGAGACGCGAAAGCGUGGGGAGCAAACAGG